GGCAUCAACCUCAACGUCCCCGUCGACCUCACCCUCCUCCUCAACUUCUGCCACAAGACCUGCCCCUCCGACUUCACCUGCCCACUCUAAAUCCAUCCAUCCAUCCCUCCCUUAAUUAUUAUUUAUCUAUAUAUAUUACGUUCGUCCAAUUAAGUGCUGUAUUUUAAUUGUCAUACUCAUGCAUGGACGCAUGUCGUCGGUCGAUCUCUCUCUCUCUCUCUCUGUGUUCAUCAAUCUGUCGAUCGCCAGUGAUCGAUAUUGAUGAUCAGCCCGAUCUCUGUAUCUUGUUAUUUGUAUACGCCAAAUAAAAGUUUCUUCCACUUGUGUUAACUAUAUAUUCAUGCAUCAACAUACUUAGCUAGCUAGCUGCAUGUUUGAAUUGGAUGUGACGAUGAACAUAUAUACAUACGACAUAUAUAACUCUAAGCUUUUUGGAGUACGAGGCAAAUUAAUUAACGACCCCUGUAAUCAUCUCUACAUAUGCAUGCUUACGUACGUAAAAAACAGGCCAGCCAGAUAUAUCGAUCAAAUUGCAUUGCAUAUAAUAUUAGUAGAAAGCACUGUCGAUAUAUUUGCGGAGUUAGAACAAGUAUAAUAGCAAGUUGUAAGCCAACUAAAUGUUGACGUGGAGGAGAGAGAUGAGAAGGAGCGGUAAGGUUAUAGCUAGCUCGGGUAAAAAACCAAGAAACUUUGUAAGAGACAAGUGGGUUAUGUAUUAAUAAUGAAGUGUUAACUACUAUAUGAAUAAACUAAGAGAAGACUAUAAAUAGUCUUAUAACCAGCUAUUGGCUAUACUAUUAAUCUUCCUCUUAUGCGCACACGACUAACUUGUAAGAGAUGCAUGCAAUCAGAACAGAUGUUCUUUUAACUCUGAGAACAGCUGUAGUUAACACAUGCAAGAACUACUUACUUGAUCUGAUUGAAGUAAAUAUACUCCCUCCAAUUUGAUAGUUUUAGUUACGACACGGUAUUUUAAAUUUAUCUUUGAUUGUGAUUUUGUAAUAAAAUACAUAAAAAGUAAAAAAUAUUUACUUUUGUUCUUUAUGACUCAUCUAUACAUAUUGUUUUAGUGUUUCCAAAAUAAAUAUUUUACUAUUAAUUAAUAGUUAAAAUUUUAAAAGUUUAACCAUAUUUUUAUGUAAAACAAUAAGAAUUUAUAGAACUGGAAAGAGGGUACAUAAAGUCUGAAGCACUUACCUAGCUAAAAAUGUACUCACUAUGACUAAAAUGUGAAUAAUGUCGUCAUGCAUCAACGAACCAAAGCUAAAAACACGUACGUCUUCUUAUUAAUUAAGCUCUCUAGCUAGCUACGUGGUUAAUUAAUUUGUGCCAGUUAAAAUACAUAUAUAUUUUCAAUUAAGGUCUUGUUUAGUUUCAAAUUUUUUUCCAAAAACAUCGCAUCGAAUUUUUGGACACCUAAAUAAAAUAUUAAACAUAGAUGAACCAAAAAACUAAUUGCACAGUUAUGUAAAAAAUCUUGAGAUGAAUCUUUUGAGCCUAAUUAGUCCAUGAUUAGCCGUAAGUGCUACAGCAACCAACGUGUGCUAAUGAUGGAUUAAUUAGACUCAAAAGAUUCGUCUCGCAGUAGGUUAGCCGUGAAAUUCAUUUUUUUAUUCGAGUCCGAAAACCCCUUCUGAUAUCUGGUCAAACAUUUGACGUGACACUUUUUUCAAAAAUUUUCUCAAUCUAAACACCAAAGUACGUACUCAUAAAUAUAUGGUUCAGUCUUCAAUAAAAUAUCAAGCUAUACGUACCCAGUCGACGUGUCCCUGGAGGAGAUGCUGGAACAGAAAUAGAUCUGCAGAAAAACGGCAUAUAUUCCGUCGCCACGUUCCAAUAUAUUGCGGAAUAAAGUAAAACAUUCAAAAUAUAAGUAUAUUAUGUGUGUGUGUAUAUAUAUAUAUAUAUAUAUUACUAGCUAAUUUAUACGAGAUCUAUUUAUUUAAAAACUAUAAAUUAAUUGUACAGUAGUGCUUAAUUUUCUAAAAAAAUAUCAUCUGGACAACGUAUUAAUUAUGGAGACAGGUCCAGAAAGUCAAAAAUAAUUUGUACUAAAUAACGAUCACAAGAGCGUUGCUGCAGUCGCUUUUUACUGCAAUGGCAUCGCAGUAGCGGGAACACCGCUCUAUUUAUGGUCUCAAUAGCGGCCGCUAUGACAUGUAUGUAUACGUACUAUAUUCAUUUAUCACGAAGCUAUAUAGUUAUCUAUUAUAAAAAUAUAAGACAUGCAAAUUUGAUAUAAUCUAUAAAAUAAGUCUUUAAUUUCUCAUAUAUCUACUACACUUUUGUAUCCACAAAAUCAUUAUUACAUUCAGAUAUGUUAAUCCAAUAAUACCAUUUCCAUCAAUAAAAUUAAUCCACAUAAAAAUAAAUGUUGGUUAAAUAUUACAAGAGUUGAAUCUUAAGACACAUGCAAGCCCCGUUAUAUUUUUAUUCUUUUCAUCCUAAAAUAUAAUCAUUUCUACGCAUGAUUUAAAUUUUGUACCAUAAUAUAAUUAAGAAUUUUUGCACUGACAUACGAUCUCAAUCAUUCCAACAAAUUCAGAAAAAAAUUCAUAUGCUUAGAAAAAAAUAUAAUCAAUUCAAAAUUUGAUCACUUAAGUACUGAAUCUUUUGACACUGUGUUUAUGCUAAACAACCUAAAUUAAAAUUGAUUAUAGUUUAGAACGGAUAUGUAUAGUAGAGCAAAGGAAGUACGAAGAUGGUCAAUUUGUUCCGAUAAUGUUAUCUUGCACUAGAGGUAUAAAUUACUACUAUUUGACUCUGUGUACGUGCAGUACUGUCUCUGUAUCAUGUACUACAUAUAUGUAAAAUGCAUGAAGUGUCGCUCACUGGUCAGUUCGAUAGAUAGAUGGAUCAUCGCUGAAAAACAAGUAGUCGUGGUCGUCGUUUGGGGCCGAGGAAAAGGCGCAUGGACGGACCGAACUAGCUAAGCUACUAUGCUAGCUGCCGACAAUCGUCCGGGUAGGUGCUUACUGUCCAAAUUCUGAUCAAUCGUCGGUCAUCAACCAUACAAAAAUGACAAAUUAAUGGUGGUGUACAUCAUGAGAUUUAACAAGUUUAAUCAAACAGCAGCUAGCUACACCGAUUUAUAUAUAUAUAUAUCUUGAUAUUAUAUUUAUGUAUAGAGAUAUGGCCACGUACGUAUAUACAGACUGGCACCCCAUGAUCACAUAUCAACUUGUGCAAUGGACUGGAGUGGAGUGGAGUACCAGUAGCACCCCACCACCUGAAAGCUAGCGAUCAGAUAUCGAAUUCAUCUGAGGAAUAAUAUAUAUAUGCAGUUACAGAUCCAUGGAAGAUAUAUAACAAUUUAUAUACUGACAGACGACAGCUAAGGUUGAGUACGUUUGACUGUUUGAGAGGAGAGCAAGGAAGAAGAGAAGGAACAGACGAUGUGAUUCGAUCAUGAUUAAUUAAAUAUAAAUUAUUUUAAUCUUAAAAAUACAGUAAUAACAUAAUUUUUAAAUAAACUUUACACACACAUAUAUAUAUAUAUAUUAAAAAUUAAAGCACUAUCAAUUAAGAAAACAUAUAUACGUUCAGAAAAUUAACGAGCGACUUUUCAUCCAUUUGUUUCACUCAAACCGUGUCUAAAUCAAUGCAGAAAAUGAACAAAGAAAGAGCUAGCUAGCUUUGAUUGGUUUGCGUGUGAAAUCAAGAGAAACAGCAUGUCUCCGAUGCCACAAAAUUAACAAAUUUCAAGACGCUAUGUCUGACCUGACGGACGGACGACGCAUAUAUAUAUUAUAUAUAUAUAUAUAUAUAUAUAUAUAUAUAUAUAUAUAUAUAUAUAUAUAUAUAUAUAUAUAUAUAUAUAUAUAUAUAUAUAUAUAUAUAUAUACUAUCCUACCACCAGGUGUAGCUACUCCCUUCACGUCUAAGGUGCAGAAACACCUAUAUACAUAUUUCUUCUCUCUUCUAACAGAAAGUACAAACUCUAUACGUAUAGCUAUAUCAUUCACAUGAGAUUUAAUAGUGUCCAUAUUUUCUAUUGGGUGGGAGCAGAAACAGUUAUAAAAAUGUUUUUCAUCAUGGACGUGCAGGGAGUAGCUACACCUGAUAGUACGAUCUAAUUUUCAUAUAUAUAUAUACACACACAAGUGUGUGUAUGUGUAGGACCAGAGUGUAUCUAUCUAAGAGUGUAACUGUUUUGUUCGAUCCAUGAAUAUAUCCAUCUGCCUGUGGCCCUGAAUAUAUGCGUGUGCAGAUGGUCGUCGUCGUUCGAUCACCUCGUGACCUUGCUAUAGUCUUUAGCUCACUGCAGCCGGCUUUCUCACAUUUAUUUCUAGUUUUAUGUGGGUGGGAUAUUAUUGAUUAAGGUGCAUUGUUAAUUUACUUGAUUAACAGUACACUAGAUUACUUUUUUGAGAAAUAAAUUUCAUAAAUAUCUUACAACCAGUGGUCUAAAUAUACAGUAAAAUAAUUUUCUUUUUGAUAAACCGUGUUUCUAGGAGUAAUGUGGAUCAAAAAUCUUGACAGAUCGAAAACUGAAAAGAGUACUAUAUAUACUCAUGUAUGUAUAUAAAUGUGCUGGUCAAAAGGAGGGACAGAUGGCGAGCGAGUUACUUGUCGAAUGAAUGAAUGAAAUAGUCAUCGAUCGGCUGAUCGGUGACGUGCAUAAUUAAGCAAGGCAAUGGGUACUAACAUAAAUUAUAAUUGUCACGUCAUGCAUGCAUGAUCGAUCCAUCGUGUAUGGAUGAUGCAAAGAAGAAGAAUAUUACUUUUGUUUUCAUUCGUCCCGUGACUAGCUACUAGCUCCAUCUGCAUUCAUCAUAUCGAUCGUCAUCGAGAGUACGUGCGUAUAUAUAUUUUUUUCAUAUAUACAUGUACUGUAUAUAUGUAUAUGUAUUUAAAUACGUACGUGCCAGCUAUAUAGCCUAUUACGUUUCAGUCCUUUCCCAACCUCACGCUAAUCGAUCUAGCAUAUGAAUUGUACUAACGGCCGGUUAUUAAUUCAUUAAAAAAAUUAUAUAGCGCGCAUUUUAUAUCCAGGAUAUAUAUGAUAGUACAUAGUUAAAUUAAUAGGCCAAUUAGCUUAGGUUGCAUUCGAACGAAUAUCUAAGGAAAUAAUUAAACAUUAAUUCAUGUGUAUGUAUUCGAUGGUGAAUAUUAAUGGGGAUGUCGACCGGUGUAAAUACCGGUACUGCUGCUGGUUGCCUUAACUAACGUGGUGUUUGCUUCUUUAGUCCUAGGAUUAAAAAUUAGUCACUGGACUAAAAUCUUUAGUAGAUAGACUAAAAAUGCAUCAUAUAUAGAAAUUUUGGUUAGAGGGUAGGUGUGAAAGGAAGUUCUAUCUCAAUAAGUACCUAUGCAAGAGACUAAUAGACUAAUACAAUUUUAGUCCAUUUUAGUCCCUUACAUUUGGAUUUUUAGAGACUAAAUGAGACUAAAGUGGAGGGACUAAUGGAUUAGUCACCUAAACCAAACAAUGCCUAAAUGUAUUAAUUUGAACUAGUAUACCCUCUUCGUUUUAAAAUAUAGGGUCUAUAUCGUUUUUUUAGCCAAUGUUUAAAAUUUCCAUUAAUAAUGGAGCUAAUUAAUACAACAUGUGUUUUUGUCAUAUAUGUGGUGCCAUUAGAUUUAUAUUUAAAAAUAUUUCUAUAUGAUGUUCAUAUUUUAUCGUGGUCGAGUACGUUUAGCCUUGAUUUUUUUAAGAAUAUUUCGUGACUAAUUUGUAUUGUAUUUGUGAGGUGUAGAAAGUACACUUCUCUAAUACUCAGAAAUGAUAUAUACAUAAAUAAACACUCAUCAAAAACAGGUUAAUGCGGCUAGCCAGUGUACAUGUGAAUGGCUGAGACGUUUGAGUCAGUUAUAAUGGGUAGCAUGGAUAUACAUUUCAUGCAUACGCCAACCUGACCUGUUAAAAUCACAAGGAAAAAAAAUGUAUUUAUGUCUAUCCAAGUCGUGGGCGGCGACGAACCGGCCGUCAAACAAUUUGCAUAUAUAUUCGAUCGAGAUCUGUAUAUUUUUACUUGCUGAUUAAUUUAAUUUGCUGGCCACACGCGCGCGCGCGCGAGUCAUGCUUGCUGCUAGCUGCAUGUUCUUGCACCACAUAUAUACUAUGCGUUUACUUUGAUAUAUAUGUGUAUAUAUAUAUAUAUAUAUAUAUAUGUGUGUGUGUAUAUGUAUAUAUAUAUAUAUAUAUAUCGAUCAGCUUAAUUUGCAUUUGCUUAUAUACUUUACAGGUACAUAUAUAUACCGUUCUUUACUUCAUUGGCACGCAUGCACCCAUGCAUGAAUAAUGCAAAUAGAUGUAGUAGAUGCGUGCAUAUAUAUUGCCCAUAAGUACGUACUUUCAGUUUAGUUAAUUAUCUAGCCAGACGGACAGGGGUACACAUAUAAACAUGUGUCGACCUGCAUGUAGAUAGUCUUAUACUAUGCAUUGGUUAAACAUAUUGAUUGUUAAUUAUAUUAUGCAGAACGACUACAACUUAACGAUAUUGGAUAAUGGGCCUCAUCGAUUGGGCCAAUUUCCUACCCAACAUAUAUAUAUACGAUCGAGAGGAAAAGGCCAUUACACCUCCCUCAACUAAUGUCUCAGUUUAAUUUUGGUCCCUCAGCCGCAAAGUCUCCCUCAAAUAUUAAAAACUGGUCAUUUUUACCUCCUUGAGUAGUUAAGUUUGGGUACGUAACAAUUUCAUCCUAUGUGGCGUUUAUAACUUUAUGUGGCACAUUAACUUAAUCUUCAUUUGUUGUGGUCUCUAUGCGACGCUUACGUGGCACCAUGGUCAUAUAAUCAAAAUAAAAUAAAAUUAUGAUGAUGGGCCCAAGUUGUUAUUGACAUGCUUCCUUCCCUUCUCCUAUAUAUGUUUUUUCCGUCUCUUUCAUCCUAUUCGAUCUCUCUCUCACACACACACAUAGGAAGACGGUAGCUAAGCCCUAUAUAUAUAUCUCAAAACAAGUGGCCAGUUACAGUCUUACAGAGCAAAUUAAUCUGAAGGCAGGGAGAUAGAUAGCACCAAACAUCAACUUCAAUUCCACGCUGACCCCAUACAUGGUGUGCGCCAUACAUGCACCAAACUAAUAAGGAGCAAGCCAAUUAAGAUGGAUGAUGAGAUCGAUCAGUGCAGUGCAGCUCAUGCCUGGGAGCUGUACGUACGUGGUCUGUCUGUCUAAACGAAGCAGAAAGAGUUUUGCAAGUUCAGCAGCUUAAUUAAUUGUCCACAGGAUAAAGGAUGAAAGCAAGCUCCGGGGUAUGCUCAGCUCUCUGUCUUUCCCCGUCCCCUGUUAAUUUUCUCUUCCUCGAGGGCAGCGGCGGAUCCAGGAAAAAAUCGUAGGGGCUGACCAAACUGGCUAUCAUGUGCGGGUACACCUGUCGCCCGCUGCCGUGCCGCGUGUGCCGGACUCCCUGCCAUGCCAUAUGCCGCUGCCGACCCCUACCGCGUGAAUAUAUAGGCCACUCACCACUCGGCCCGCUCCUACGCGCUCACCGUCGGCUGCCAACUGACGACCAUCUUCGCCGCUCCGUGCAUAUAUCGUCCAUCGCCAGCCGCCUGGGAUUGGGUGGUUGUGAGUGAGGAUUAGGGUAUUGUGGUGGGGAGGGGUGUGGAUUGGGAUGAGAAUGGACGGUUUGGAUGGAAACAGAUGAAAAUGGAUGGCUAAAUGUUGAUGGUUGUGUUUUAAGUAGGCUAGGCAAGGAAACAAAUUUUAAGUGGGCUAGACUUCUUUUCAUAACGGUCCAACUAAUUUUAUCUUCUACCUUCAACCACGAACCGAAGAACUACAUCUCCAUCCCACGAAACCAUGGAGAAAAUUUGUAGGGGGGCUUAGGGGGUCUCCACGGGAUCGGUGCCGGUAGUGGGGGCUGAAGCCCCCCCAGCCCCCAUGCCCCCUCCGCCGCUGCUCAAGGGCAAGUCGCACUCUGUAAAUACUGCUGCCUCUUCUUAAUAUAACUAGACGAUCCAUACCCUGCGCGUUGCUGCUGGCCACUGUAUGGGUAAAACCAUACUUACAGUGAAACAGAAGUAGUGUAGAAUUCUGUAUGAUAAUAAGGAGUAAAGUAGAAUUUGAGACAAAAAAAAAUAUUGAAGAUUUUUAUAUUUGAUAGUGCUGACGGCAUAAUAAUGCAUGAUAACUUUAGCCUUCUAUAGUUUUAUAUCAGGCAAAAAAAGAUAAAUUGUAUUUGCUUGUAAUAUUAGCAUGUAAUUUAUCUAUAUCAUCCUCUGAAUAAAUAACAAUAUUACAUAUUAGCAUAUAUUUUCUAAAAUAAAGCAGUUUGAUGAGUUAGCUACCUGCUCAUUUCAAAGGUCUAUGUGCCGUACAUGCUAUAUACUUUCUCUGAUUUUUUUUAAUUUAGUUUCAUUAAUUUUUAGAUCUACUAUUAAUCAUUCGUCUUAAUCAAUAAUUUCGUGAUAAUAUGCAAAAUCAUAACUCAUGUUUAAUAUGUCUUUAAUGAGAACUAAAUCUUAAUAAAUAGUUAAUAAUUAUGUAAAUCUAGCUUGUAAGUAAGAUAAAUGAUCAAAUCUGUGUAGACAGGAGACCAUGACGAUGACGACGACGACAGCACUCAUUAUUGAUGUAGUAGUAGAAAUAUCGAUCAGAUCGGACCUAGCUAGCACUACUGCAAUGCAUGCAUGGCAGAUCGUCCUUGGCCAGCUAAGGCUAAGCUACCACCAAAAGCCCAAAAGCAAGCUAGCUUACAUACACACACUCUCUCUCGAUGGAUCAAUCACCGGCCUGCAUGCACCUAAUUAUAAUUAAGAUCGAUGAUGAUGAAAUCCUAGUUACUUAAAUUACUAGUCAAUUAGUUAAGCUCAAACUAAUUAAUAAGUGGCCUCCUCCUCCUCCUCCUCCUCCUUCCUAUAUACUAGUAUAAAUAUGAGUGCACUCGCUCCACUUGCUCUGCCACACACCACAGUACGCUACGCUAGCCAACAGAUCGAGCAGGCGGCAUAAUGGCGAAGAAAGCUGGUGUAGUGAUGGGCAUGCUCCUCGCCCUCAACCUCCUCUUCUUCACCUUCUCCGACGCCUGCGGCUACUGCCCUAGUCCCGGCGGAGGAGGUGGAAGUGGAGGCGGAGGGGGUGGUGGUGGCGGAAGCGGAGGGUCAGGGGGAGGCAGCGGCGGCGGAGGGUCAGGAGGCGGAGGAGGGUCAGGAGGCGGCGGAGGGUCAGGUGGAGGCAGCGGCGGCGGCGGAAGCAGUAGUGGGCGUGCCCGAUCGACGCGCUGAAGCUGGGGGUGUGCGCGAACGUGCUGAACGGGCUGAUAAACGUGCAGCUGGGGACGCCGCCGCGGCAGCCGUGCUGCACCCUCAUCCAGGGCCUCGCCGACCUGGAGGCCGCCGUCUGCCUCUGCACGGCGCUGCGUGCCAGCGUCCUCGGCAUCAACCUCAACGUCCCCAUCAACCUCAGCCUCCUCGUCAACUACUGCGGCCGCCGCGUCCCCUCCGGCUUCCAGUGCCCCAACAAUUAAUCAACUACUACAUACUAUAUGCAUGCAUGCAUUUCAAUUCCUCGAUCCGGUUGUUAAUGAUUUCAGUCCCAUAUAUAUGCAUGUAGCUGAAGCU
rnacentral:lncRNA from 1 species